rnacentral:lncRNA from 1 species
GGCAACCAUAGUUCCCCUAUUUUCUUUCAUGGUAAUCAGAGCCACCUCUUCCUAAAUCAAUUCACAAAAUCAGAAAGAUCGCGCCGCGUUCCAUCUACGACGUUCGGCCGCGCCGUCCUUUUCCUCGACAACAACGUGACGUGCGAUUGCCUCUCGCAAGUCACAUCAAGAUCCCAACAUCAAGACUCCUGUUCCUUCGUUCGGUG